GAACAGCCGCUGCGCCGCUCCAUAAAUUAUGCCCACUUGACUAUGCCCGUUGUGCGGCUCCUGCCAUUACCGCAAUAUCCUAAGCCGCCAUUAAUGCCCUUAACUCGAGUUCGAGAUCGGAGGAGGGAUGGAGGCGGUGUGCGUCGCCACGUCUUGAUCCGUGUUACUCCAUUCUGUACUACAGUACUACUCCUACGUGCGAGCCAGCCAGCCGCGGAGCCGCCCCCCCAUUUAAAGACGCCGCACGCCGCUCUCGGUUUAGUUUUCCGCCGGGAGUAUCCGUCGCUGUCGCCGCGCGUUCGUGAGAGGGGCGUGCACGUGCGUGCUCACCGGAGGGCGUAGUGGUCGGGAUGCUCACCUGCAUCGCCUGCUCCAGGCAGCCCGGCGGCGGCGGGGCCCCGCUGCACGAGCCGCCGGAGGACGAGGACGCCGUCGACGGCGUCGGCGUUAGCGAAGCGGCGACGCCGAGCACUCGGCUGGCCAUCAAGGCGCUCACCGCCCAGCUUCCUAGGUCUUGGAAUCUUGUUUUGAGGUCAUAAUCAUCAGAUCCCGUUGGAGUCGCGGGAUUGAUUUGACGGGGAAACAUUUCUUUGGUUCAGAUCAAGGACAUGGCGUUGAAAGCGUCCGGCGCGUACCGGCACUGCAAGCCUUGCACCACCCGUACCACCACCGCGGGGGCAACGGCUUCCAGGACUCCGAGACCGCCUCCGGCUCCGAACGCUUCCACUACGCGUACUGACGCGCCGGGGGCGGCGGCGGCGCGCUCUCAAGCGGGGACGCCACGCCGUCCAUGAGCGCGCGCACCGACUUCCCCACCGGCGACGAGGAGGACGACGACGAGAUGUUGUCUGGCGGCGGCGGCAGCAAGGAGGACGACGCGAAGGAGUGGGUGGCACAGGUGGAGCCCGGCGUCCUCAUCACGUUUGUCUCGCUGCCGCUAGGUGGCAAUGACCUCAAACGCAUCCGAUUCAGUAUCAAGCAGAUGCUUGACAUGUUCCGCCUCGCCCAGGCCCAUCGCAAGGAAAGCGAAAACCGAGAUUUGCUUUAUCGGGUUCUAAUACCAACGUGCUUCUCAAAGAAGCAAGGAGCAGGUGGUUAAAGCCUUCGGAAGUCAACUCUAUCUUGCUGAAUCAUGAGUGCCUCCUGAUCACCCAUGAGCCACCAAAUAUGCCAUCAAAUAUUGCACGUCUCCUUAAUUUUCAGAAAUUUGCUUUUACUUCUAUGUUCACGUGGGUAUGGUAACAGGAUCAUUUGUUCUCUAGAUGGUUCACUGUUCCUUUAUAAUCACCGUGUGAAUCAUCAGGUUAUGUGCAAACAUAAUAAAGGAUAUGUGACCUAGGAGUUAAUAUAGCCAGAAAAUCAUAUGCCAUGAUUAUUCAAGCAAGACAUGUUUGCUUACACACACAUGCAAUGUACUUGCACAUAAUAGUGCUUAAGCUAAAACAUGACCACCAAUUAGAGUAAAAAAGGUUAAAAAAACAUGGUUUCACUAACUCUUAAUACUGUGCAAGGAAUAGAUGUAAAUAUAAUUUUUAGUGGACUUAGAAGGCCUUGUUUAGUGGACUUGAAUAGUUCACUUACUGGUUUGAUGGUUUGACUAACUAUCAGUUUUUGAUGCUCACCGUCUCACCGACACAUGAUACGCACAGAGAUGUGUGAUUCUAUUGUUUUUAUGGGCAAAUAUGCUUAUUCUUGCACCAUGAGUUAUUCCGGAACAUUAAAAUUGAGUAUGUGUAGAUGGAGGUGUCAGCUCACAGUUAACUUCAUCCUGAUUUUAACUUUCAUCAAUAAAAUAGCAAAAUUAAAUUUUUCGUAUGGAUGUAAAAAUAUUCUAGCAGAUUUUUCUUAUGCUCUACCUACAUCGUCAUUGUAAAUUCAGGUUAAAGCAGGUUGUUUGAGAAGUGCUAUGUGAUCAAGGUAUCCUGCUGAUAAAUAUGUGAAUAUUUACCUUUUAGGUUCUCCAGAGUCCACACCCUUUAGAAAAGAAGUUUCAGCCCCUGAAGUGAAGAUCAAGGCAACUGUAUUUUCCACUACGAAAUUGCAUUCUAUAUAUUUUAUCAAGGCAGCAAAAUCAUAUUUUCAAGGAAAAAAAUAGUUUCUUCUGAGCCAUUGGUUUUGUUUUACUGUGGAAAAGCCCCUCAGAUGAGCAAUGAAUACAAAAUGGAGAUGGAGGUCCAGUUAGAUUAUAGGUCAGAAGGAAAGGUUGCCAUAUUCCGCAGCACUGAAGGUAAUUGACCAUUUUUUUCCUGAUGCAAAUAUUUAAUUUAUAUGUAGUUUGUAACGUUGAACUAUAUAGCUCUAGCUCUAGAGCUGCAAGAUUUUGUUCGGCAUUUGAUUCCAUCACUCUAUGGGGUUUGGCCUGCAGAACUUAGUCUAGAAGUUUUGCAGCUUUCAGCUUGCUUUUUCAUUAAGUGUGUCACUACAAGCAGGUAUUAAAUUCCAUUAAGAACUUACGUCUAGAAGUAUUUUUAUUCCACUGGAUUGGGCUUCAUACAGUAAAAACACUUCUUUUGGCAUCUUUAUCUACUUGUUUUUUCAAUUACUCUGUAGUGGUAGUUCAAAAAAUGGGCACUACAUUUUGUUUAUGUUUCUCUUCGGUAUGCUGCUAACAUGUUUCCUUAGCUCUGGUUAUGAUAGAAACUACUCUUAGGAUUAUCUAUGCAGUAGAAGUGGUAUAUGCCAAUAUUUUCUCUGGUGUAGUAUGUUCCGCAGGUUCUGCUACCAUCACAUAAGCGCUUUUUCUUUAAACUUUGGCAAUGUCUAUGCCUUUGUUCUUUUCGAAAGCUUUUAAUAUACCAUCACUCAUUCCGGCUGCGAAAGAUUUGUUGACUGAAAGUGCGGUACGUGAAUUUACACAUCCUUGCUUCAUUAUGCCUGUGUGGUGAAGGCAUGUUUACAGUCUACGAAGUCGUAGAGAACAAAUGUGAACUUGAAUUGGGUUCCUAUUUCUCUAUUGAGCAUGUACUCUGUCCUACAUGUUCAUUAUUUUUUUCUGAAGAUAUCUUUGGACUCAUUCUCAACAACAGGAUGGACCAACUGAAACUUGUCUGUAACAUGAUCAGAACAAUGGUUUUCAGGCUAUCUUCUGCGUUCGGGGAUUGUACCGAACAACUCAUGGAUCAAGUGUAGCUUCCUGACGAGAUAUGUGUGCUGUACAGUCGUGCGUCUAACAUUGAUGUUAUCAUCGAUCAUAUCUUUCAAUGUCAGGAUGAUAUCUGGUUUUAAGGCUAUUUUUUUCGCUUGACAGGCAAACAUUCUCAAUCUUUGUUUCCCUUAACAAGUUGGACAUCAGAACGAUAUAUGAUCCGUCGCGAAGCACGGACACCUUACUAGUCUUUACUAAUUUGCAGUUGGCGGUACGUCCGUUUCGUCCGUCGUCGUACGUCGGCCCUUCUCUCCGCCCGCUCCCUCACGAAAAAAAGAACCUCGUCCGAUCUUCUGCCCUUGCCCUCAAUCCCUCAAAUCGAUCCCCACUGGCCACUUCUGGCGCUGCCGUCCCCCCUCCCCCGGCACGGCCGCACUUCCCCGACGCCGUGCGUCGAAGGCCUCAGCUGGGGAGGAGGAAGCCCCUUCCCCUGCCACCCCGGAGAAGCCGUAUCCAGCCACGGCCGCCCACCACAGGCGAGAUCCGAAGCCGCCGUCCCGACGCCUCUUACACGCCCAGAACCCUUCUCCGAUGCCUCGCCUGCCUCCUCUCAUCCAGUUUCUUUCCGAUCCAGCGCCCCAAUACCCCAACCAUCCAGAUCCGGCGCCCAUCCCCUACUCCGACGUGUCGCCCAGUCUCCUGCUCCGGUGCCUCCCCAUCUCAAGUGCCGCCUCCGGCGCGGUGCACGGAGGGGGCCUCGUGCCGCGCGAGGUCGAGCGCCUCCAGGCCCUCCUGCGACGUCACGACCCGCAGCCCGGAACUGGGGGCGACGGCGCCGGUUCUGAUGCUGCUCGAUUCCCUCGGCGCCGACGUCAUCACAACCGACCUGGACCUGGGAGCGAGAUGGCCAGUUUCACCGUCACUGUCAAUUUGUCAAAGAUGUCUGUGUUUGCAGGUUUCAGCACUGUUCGCCUCUGGGUUUCUAGCAUUCUCAGAAAGGAUACGAAGUGCAAGUUCCCCUUUAUCCCACACCUAGCAGAUGAUGAAUUUCCCCCAGGGCUACGGUCAAUAGGACGAUUCAAGGGGUUGACAAAAUUUGUUGCAUCACCUGGCAUAUGAUGAAGGACGAAGUACGAGACCUUGCCGAUGAAGGGUACUAUGCGUAUUGUCGGGGAGAAGAUGGCAAAGACUGCGGAUGAUCUAGAAGAUCCAGGCAAGCUAGCUCAAGAUGGAGUUAUUCCAUCUAUGCUCAAAAUCUUUAUUUUUGUUUUCCUGCAAUGUUUAAAUUGGUGGUAGUGGAGCUACUCCCUUCUUCACAUGUUUUUUUUGUACAAAGCACUUGUAUAUGCAUGUAGCCUCCAUUAGAAGCUUUCUUCUUCCACCAGUUUGAAAGUCAGAAUUAAUAUCUACCCAAAGUGUUGUUGCUCCCAAAAAACUCUGAAUUUGAAGAUCAAUCGAGUGUUGAGACAACUUAGAGUGUCAUUUUAUUUUGUUGUUCCGUUGCAACGCACGGGCAUUCUUUAA